rnacentral:lncRNA from 1 species
GGCUCCAAUGAUGGGACAGUGCUGAAGGUGCUACCUCCAGGGGGACAGUCUCUGGGACCCGAGCCUAUCAUAUUGGAAGAGAUUGAUGCCUACAGCCAUGCCCGGUGCAGUGGGAAGCGGUCACCCCGAGCUGCUCGACGGAUCAUAGGGCUGGAGCUGGACACUGAGGGUCACAGGCUUUUUGUGGCCUUUCCUGGAUGCAUCGUCUACCUCUCUCUCAGCCGCUGUGCCCGGCAUGGAGCAUGUCAGAGGAGCUGCCUGGCUUCUCUGGACCCAUACUGUGGAUGGCAUCGGUUCCGAGGCUGUGUGAAUAUCAGGGGACCUGGAGGGACUGAUGUGGAUCUGACUGGGAACCAGGAAUCCAUGGAGCAUGGUGACUGCCAAGAUGGAGCGACUGGGAGUCAGUCUGGCCCUGGAGAUUCUGCCUAUGGCGUGCGCAGGGACCUUUCCCCAGCCUCAGCCUCCCGAUCCAUCCCCAUCCCACUCCUCCUGGCCUGUGUGGCGGCGGCCUUCGCUUUGGGCGCCUCAGUCUCCGGCCUCUUGGUGUCCUGUGCUUGUCGUCGCGCGAACCGCCGUCGGAGCAAGGACAUCGAGACCCCGGGGCUGCCGCGCCCCCUCUCCCUUCGCAGUCUGGCGAGGCUGCACGGUGGCGGUCCUGAGCCCCCGCCUCCGCCCAAGGAUGGUGAUGCAGCGCAAACGCCCCAGCUCUACACUACCUUCCUGCCUCCGCCCGAGGGCGGAUCCCCACCGGAGCUGGCCUGCCUGCCCACCCCGGAGACCACGCCCGAGCUGCCGGUGAAGCACCUCCGUGCCUCCGGGGGUCCCUGGGAGUGGAACCAGAACGGGAACAACGCUUCGGAGGGCCCAGGCCGCCCACGGGGCUGCAGCGCGGCGGGCGGGCCCGCCCCGCGCGUGCUGGUGAGGCCACCGCCCCCUGGCUGCCCCGGGCAGGAGGUGGAGGUGACCACGCUGGAGGAACUGCUGCGCUACCUGCACGGCCCGCAGCCGCCCAGGAAGGGCAGCGAACCUCUCGCCUCCGCCCCGUUCACCUCCCGGCCGCCUGCCUCGGAGCCCGGCGCCGCCUUGUUCGUGGACUCCAGCCCGAUGCCUCGUGAUUGCGUGCCGCCGCUGAGGCUCGACGUACCGCCCGACGGCAAGCGCGCGGCCCCGAGCGGGCGGCCUGCUCUCUCGGCCCCGGCUCCACGCCUGGGCGUCAGCGGCAGCCGAAGAUUGCCCUUCCCCACGCACCGGGCGCCCCCGGGCCUGCUCACCCGAGUCCCCUCGGGAGGCCCGUCCAGGUACUCCGGGGGGCCCGGGAGGCACCUCCUGUACCUGGGCCGGCCCGACGGCCACCGCGGCCGCUCCCUGAAGAGGGUGGACGUGAAGUCUCCACUGUCGCCCAAACCGCCCCUCGCCACACCGCCGCAGCCCGCCCCGCACGGCAGCCAUUUUAACUUCUGACAGAAGCUGCUAGCGCCCGUCGAGGCGCUGGAGGCCUAGGCCUGCGGAGGCCGCUGGCCUUCCCGGACUCCAAGAGUCUCCCGGGGUCCCCUCUCGCCUCGGUUUAUUUAUUGACUGUCUUUCCCCCUGUCCUUUGGCGAGGAGCUCGCCGCUCGGAGCGCCAGCAUUUCAGGGGACCUGGCCGACUCCCACUCCCCGCUCCCUUCCAGCCACGCUGCCUUAACUCGUCGCUCCGGACUCCCGCGGACUGGGCCCCGGGCGGGCCGGCCGGGGCUGGAGCCGCGCGCUGUGUACAGAGUCCUCCGGCCUCCUGGGGCCGGGACGUGCCUCCUCCUACUGUGUAGGAGCCCCCACCCCUCGCUUCCCAAUACAGCCGUGUCCCCCAGCCGCUGCCUGACUUUCUCGCGGUGCGGG